AUUGACUAUCCGCUAAACAUUUAAACAAGUAAAAUCAAAAAAGGUGAAAACAGACACACACACCGAUUCAAACACCCCACACACAAAACACUCCUCACACACAACAUGCACACAAACGUGUGUGUGUGCGCAGUCUGUAGAUACACAGAUACAACGAAUAACAAAAGGGGGCGAUGCAUUCAUGAUGGGUUACCAUGCCUUUCGUUUAGGUAAUGACGGCCGUGCAUGCGUGUGUUUAUACCUGAUGUGUUUCUUCAGUCUGGCUGAUUGCCUGUCACAGUAUGUGCUGGAACCUUGACGGAAGCUUUGCAACACGCAUCCCAGGUGGAGCUUUAGUGUGUGUGUGUGUGUGUUUUAAGAGUGUGUGUUGUUUGUCAGAACCCCCACAGGCUGUGGCUGGUGUGCCGUUGUGUAAAGUCUCGGAGACGGAAGACGUUUGGAAUGUAUCCUUUAUUGAUGCACUGAAUGGUUUGCCGUGUGCGUCUCUGUGUGUGUGUUGUUUGUGUGUGUGUGUGUGAAGAUUUCUCUGCAGGUACCCAGCUGUGCAGAGGACAGUGUUGAUUGCUCUCAGAUAACAUGCAUUAUUCUCGCUAUGCACACGCUGGCCGGCUAUUCUUUCCUCCUAAUGUCCCUCAAAUAUGCGGACAACAAACUUAGAGAUGUUUUGUAAAGGGCCACGAGAAUUUGGCUUUCCACAGGAGAACAAAGGCUGCGGGCCAAUGCGUGUCCUCAAACUAAUACAUCUACUCAGACAUUCAAACUCCCACCUGACAUGAGGUCCACGAGCCAAUCGGAGCAGAUAGACAGAGGCUGCGCUGAUGCCCAGAAACAUGAAGAAGAACUGCGGAAUCAGCUGAAAGAUACAGAGCCCAAGAUCAGUGAUGGGAUGUCCACGGGGCAGGUGUGGGGUCGUGUGAUGUUUCCUCAGCGUUUAACUGAUGUGACACCUUCCCCUCCAAGACGCCCUUGAGCCGUCUACCUGUGAACACAGUCUGCUUCCCAUGAUGCUCGGUGUCAACAACAAAGAGAUUAGCGGUACCCGAAGAGGACCGACAGCAUUUCCAAUCAGCUCAACUGUGUAGAUAUGACAUCCACGUGACCGAGAGGCUGACCUGGGUGACCUUGAGACCGCA